UACGUAGGGUGCAAGCGUUGUCCGGAAUUAUUGGGCGUAAAGAGCUCGUAGGCGGUCUGUCACGUCUGCCGUGAAAACCCGAGGCUUAACCUCGUGGCUUGCGGUGGAUACGGGCAGACUAGAGGUAGGUAGGGGAGAACGGAAUUCCCGGUGUAGCGGUGAAAUGCGCAGAUAUCAGGAGGAACACCGGUGGCGAAGGCGGGUCUCUGGGCCGAUACUGACGCUGAGGAGCGAAAGCGUGGGGAGCGAACAGG
rnacentral:rRNA from 1 species